AACCACAAGGGAGCCCAACAUGUACGCCGCUAUGCGAGACAGUUCAGUUAUUUGCUGCUGCCUCUUUAGUAUCAGUAUCAUAACCAUAACCUUGGUCAGAAGACUCAUUUAAAAGAGGUCUUUUCCAUGAAUCGAUAAAUUCAUCUAAUAUAAAUCACAAACUAAUUUGGAUUGAG